GACGAACGCUGGCGGCGUGCUUAACACAUGCAAGUCGAACGGAAAGGCCCUGCUUUUGUGGGGUGCUCGAGUGGCGAACGGGUGAGUAACACGUGAGUAACCUGCCCUUGACUUUGGGAUAACUUCAGGAAACUGGGGCUAAUACCGGAUAGGAGCUCCUGCUGCAUGGUGGGGGUUGGAAAGUUUCGGCGGUUGGGGAUGGACUCGCGGCUUAUCAGCUUGUUGGGGGGGUAGUGGCUUACCAAGGCUUUGACGGGUAGCCGGCCUGGGAGGGUGACCGGCCACAUUGGGACUGAGAUACGGCCCAGACUCCUACGGGAGGCAGCAGUGGGGAAUCUUGCACAAUGGGCGGAAGCCUGAUGCAGCAACGCCGCGUGCGGGAUGACGGCCUUCGGGUUGUAAACCGCUUUCGCCUGUGACGAAGCGUGAGUGACGGUAAUGGGUAAAGAAGCACCGGCUAACUACGUG
rnacentral:rRNA from 1 species